AGAGCAAAGUGCAAAAAGGUAAGAGAGAAUGCACAGUGUGUUUCAUAGAAUGUGUGUCAGUCUGUAUGUUUGUGUAUGUCAGUCUGCACAUGGGUCUGUGUGUGUAGGUAUGGGGCUGUGUGUCUGUGUAUAUGUAUGGGUCUGUGUGUAUCUAUGGGUGUGUGUGUGUGUGACUUUAUGGGUCUGUGUGUGGAUUUAUGGCUCUGUGUGUCUUUGUGUAUCUAUGGGUCUGUGUGUGUGUAUGUAUGGGUCUAUGUGUGUGCCUUUAUAAGUCUGUGUAUGUGUCUGUAUUGGUCUGUGUAUGUGUAUGUAUUGGUCUGUGUAUGUGUCUGCAUGGGUCUGUUUAUGUGUAUGGGUCUGUGUGUGCAGGGCCGCCAUCAGGGGGUGACAACCAUGAUGGUUGUCAUGGGCCCAGCGGUCCUGGGGGGCCCGGACUGCUUUGGCAGUCCUGGGCCCCACAUGCCCUCUCUGCACAUAUAUAUAGCGAUGAUCGCUAUAUAUGUGCAGCCGCGGGCCCCCGGCUCCCUAUACUUGCAGAGGGGGCCCAGCAAACUGCAAGAGCACAUUACAGCAUUUUUCCUCUCUUUAACUCCCGCGAAACCCGCGGCCGUCAGAGCGUUGCCACGGGUUACCAUGGCAACGCUCCGCGCGGCACGCAGACCACACUCGCAGUCUGCCGGCCCUCCUCUGCAAGUAUAGGGAGCCGGGGGGGGCCCACAAUGCCACCGGACCACCAGGCAUGAACCAGGUAAGAAGCAGGGAUGGGGGAGAAACAUUUAUUACAUUUACAUUAUUACAUUACAUGCAUACACUAGUAAACACACACACACUCUGCAUUCAUUACACUAACACACACACUGCAUUCACUACACUAACACACACUCUGCAUUCAUUACACUAACAAACACUCUCCAUUCACUACACUAACACACACUCUGCAUUAAUUACACUAACACACACUCUGCAUUUACUACACUAACACACAGUCUGCAUUCACUACACUGACACACAUUCUGCAUUCACUACACUGACACACACUCUGCAUUCACUACACUAACACACACUCUGCAUUCAUUACACUAACACACAAUCUGCAUUCACUACACUGACACACACUGUGCAUUCACUACACUAACACAAACUUUGCCGGGGGCAUGGGGGGCCCAGACCUUGUGUUUUGUCAGGGGACCCAAAAUUUCUGGUGGCAGCCCUGUGUGUGUGUGUGUGUAUAUGGGUCAGCGUGUGUGUUUAUGAGUCAGUGUGUAUGUAUGGGUAUGUUUGUGUGUAUGGGUCUCUGUGUGUGUGUCUUUAUGAGUCAGUGUGUGUCUGUGUGCAUGGUCAGUGUGUGUGUGUGUGGAGGGGGAUCAGUGUGAGUGUGUGUAUGUGUGUGGUCAGUGUGUGUGUCUGUAUGGGUCAGAGUGUGUGUAUAUUGGUCAGUUUAGGUAAGUCUGCAUCUGCUGUGUGUGUGCAUGUGUGGGUCUGUGUGUCUACGUGUAUGUAUGGGUCUGUGUGUGUGUGUGUAUGUGUGUAUGUCUUUCUAAGUCAGUCUGUGUGUGUGUGUGUGUAUGUAUCUGUCUGGGUAUGUAUCGGUCUAUAUAUGUAUCGGUCAGCAUGUGUCUGCAUGGGUCAGCAUGUGUCAGCAUGGGUCAAUGUGUGUGUGUAUGUAUGGAUCUGCUUGUGUGUAUGGUUCUCUGUGUGUGUGUAUGGGCCAGCGUGUGUCUGCAUGGGUUAGCGUGUGUGUUUAUGAAUCAGUGUGUAUGUAUGUGUCUGUUUUUGUGUAUUGGUCUCUGUGUGUAUGGGUCAGUGUGUGUGUCUUUAUGGGUCAGUGUGUGUCUGUGUGUGGGGGUCAUUGUGUAUCUCUGCAUGGGUCAGUGUGAGUGUGUGUAUGUGUGUGGUCAGUGUGUGUGUCUGUAUGGGUCAGUGUGUGUGUGUAUUGGUCAGUUUAGGUAAGUCUGCAUGAGUGGGUGGAACGAAUGGGGCGGAAAAAAAUGUUUUGCCUAGGGUGGCAAAAAUCUUUGCACCGGCCCUUGUCAAGCCCCCAGCUGAAAGGCAUUGUCGAUGGAGGAUCCUGAAAUCUCGUGACAUCACUAGCCAUCAGUGUUAUACUCUGGCACAUGCGCGAGAUUACAGCACUGAUGUCGGCUCCUGACAGAUGAAGCGUCUGAACUCAAAAAGGCCCCUGACAAAGAAAAGGAUGUUGACCAUUCCUUGCGUACAUCACACACUGAGUGACAGUCACCAAAUGCAUGACAGGCGCACAGUCGGAUUUGCCGGCAUAUGCGCUAACCUUACCCAAACCCCCAUUAAAACACGGACACAGGUUAUACUGUUGGAAAUAAUUUGUCCACAGCUUUAUUAAAUUAUUAAUAAAAUAAUUAAGGAAUAACAAAUGGGGUCAUUGCCAACAAAUCUUAAUAAUGUUAACCUCCCCCAUAUACAUAACAUACCCCUAGCAAUGACCCCACAAUAAUAACAAUAGAUAACAAUAUAAAUAACAUGUUAACACAGAAACUGGCCGUCCAAUUUGACCACAUUUCCACCAGGUUAAAUUGUAGGGGUGUACCGAGACACCGCUACCCACCAUAUCCAUUGUAGGGGUGUACCAAGACACCGCUACCCACCAUAUCCAUUGUAGGGGUGUACCAAGACACCGCUACCCACCAUAUCCAUUGUAGGGGUGUACCAAGACACCGCUACCCACCAGUUCCAGUGUAGGGUGUACCAAGACACCACCACACCCCCAGGUUCGGAGCCACCGACGGGCUCGAACCUACCAACCACGUGCAACACUGCCCAAUCCACACUAAACCUCAGGAUGCCCACUUUCUCCUCCAUCUACCCUCCGAUUUAACCAGGCCAUUCCCCGCCGCUGUGAAAAAACGGGAAAUCAACUAACCUAACCAAAUACAGGGAGGGUGGGAGGGACAACUGACAGGUAAGCUUAGGUUCAGUUAAAAUGGCCACUUCAUAUAAUGGCUGGUAUAAAUACUCCCCUUAUGGCUCCGUCCUACCCAGCAUGCUAGCUGUCACUAAAUUCCUGUGGCUGCUAUGCCUACCUCCUGGCUCUGUCAAGGCCUAUUCCUCUUAGCUGCGCUGAUCCAUGGGCUACAGUCUUGGCAAAAUAUGCAGAGACACCAGAAAGUGACAGAACCGCUUUAAGUAGGAGGAGCAGGGGUGUCAAGUUGGGGCUUAGGCCACUCAGCUUCCAUUCUGCAUGACCGCUCUAGGCGAAGAACAUAAACUGACCUAGAUUUCUGGGAGUUGUAGUGCAGCUCUGAGCUCUCAACACUAGAAAGCUAACAAAUGAACUACUACUCCCAGAAGCCCUUGAUUUGCCUAUUUAAAACUUGUUAUGGCAUGAGAUCAGCAGUGCUAUGGAAAGUUAAAUGAGUUCCCAAUUCGGUGACAGACUAUUACAGAACAAGCAAAGACCGCUGUUUCACACACACACACACACAAAAAAAAACAAAGGCUUGGAAUUCAGAUAUGAGCAUUUUUAUCAUUUUUAUUCAUCGUCAUUCCAUAUAUUUAGAUCCAGCACUGCAAAACACAUCUAAGAAGAGGUUCUUGUAGAGAAGCGCAACGUUUAUGAAAGUAUGAUUUGAAAUUUUACCACAUGACAGGAGGCUUCAUAUUUGCAUAUCUUUCUUUACUUAAAACUCCAGCAGCAUAGAAAUAUAACAACCAAUCAGAAAAAAGUAAUGAUGCCCAUAAAAGGCCCUGUCUAUGACAUCACUUCCUCUUUCUUUGCUGCUCCAGCCAACAUCAGGUCAGAGUAUUUUGCCUCCUGGCAGUUUACUGUAUUCUGUUUGUUUUUAUGCCUUUUCAUGUGCCUGCAGAUUGCUUUAUAUAGAUUGGUGUUUUUCCUUUUAGAGCUAUUAUUAUUUAUUGUUUGUGUUUAUUAGAAUUAAUAUUUGUUUCCACCGACCUCCUCUUACCCCUGUCCCCCCUCCGUUUCUAUCUAUACCCCCCCUUUCCUUUGUGGCCGGGUGACCGCGAGCGCGCCGACCUUCUCUGAGUCGCGCGCGCCUCGCGGGCCGCCCCCCUCCCCUUCUAUCGCUCGGGGUCUGGUUUCGGGGACGGGAGAAGGGAGGUUGGGGUCCAAGUUUGUUGGGUGCUGCUGGUCCGCGCGGCACCUCCACACGCGGGCGGCGGCCAUCUUGGAUCUCGCGGCUCGCGAGAUACCAGACGGCCGCCUGUCCCGCUCGCUCGGCGGUUCGGAAACUCACCCAACCGCCGAGCUACACAUGUGUAUGCCCUCUCCAUACAUUGGAGGAGGGCAUGCUGACUGGUUUUUGUUUUUCUCACGGUAUAUAGUGUGUCACCAUACAAUGACUGCAUCCUGUUCCCUCCAAAUCUAAGCAUGCAUUAAAGGAGACACUACAGUUUUUCUCCAAGCACAGGACCUGAGGUCUCCAUGCCCUAUCAGUGUCUCACUAAUCCACUACACCCUAUAUAGGGUCACCCUAGCUUGUCAUAUCUCGCUUAGGGUUUUUUCUAUUUUGCAUUACUCACAAAAAAAAAAAAAAAACCUGCUGCACAAGAUUUUAUUACCUCACCGUCCCUACUCUGGGACAGGCUGUCUAUACACCCUACGCUGGGUUUACCAUAUUACUGUACCUUACCGUACAAAAAUUAUGUGGGUGUCCUCUGGGCGAUUUUUCAUGGCACACCACCUGGGGUGACCCCCCAGAUAUGCAUGCUCGGUCACUCACUGACCUUUACCAUUGAUGUGGGAGUCCUCCGGUAUACCACGGCACACCACCCGGGGUGAACCCCGAUUACAUGCACGAAGGCCUAUGCCUCAGUCUAUUCUCGAUACCGCUAGUCCGUGCACCCAGCUUUGAUACAAUUGUGGCGGAUCAAACCGCAUGUGUUAAUACAUCUUCACAUCCCCCCACUGACUCUUCCUUUCGCCCAACAGGACGAGGGAAGACUGGUCGAGUCAUGGAGGACACUCAGAGCCAAGAUUUCCAAGCCAUGAUUAAUGCCGCAGUGGCGGCCUCGGUGGAGAAGGCCCUACUGAGGGCGUUACCCCAAAGCCAGGGCGACACUAGCCCCCCAGGACAAGUGGAGGCCUCGGGAUCCGAACUAUCCAAGGCUAAGAGACAUAGGAAGGUUUCCCCCCCGCCUUCAAAGACCAAAGGCAAGUUACCCGCUAAACGGAGUAAGAGCACGGAACGGCAACUGCACACACCCCGAGUACUACUCUCCUCGGACGAGGAGGAUGUGCACGUACCACACGCCUUGGACGUAGUGGACGAAUGGCGUGGGGACAGCUCUCCGUCAGAGGAGGAAGAGUGGCAAGACCUACCACCCACCUCCUCGAGAUACGUCAAGGAGACCUUUCACGGUGAUGACGACCAAGAAGAUGACAACUCCUUCGACAACAAAGCCGGAAAAGCCGGAGACGGGAAGUUCACGGACGAACAAGGGAACCCAUUGUUCGACCCACGUACCAUCCGGCACCCACGCUCUUCCGAAUGGACACUACCAGACCACUUGACGGACUUCAUACACUAUUGGCUACGCAAGCCUCUGGAGAAAGAGGUACGUGCACGCCUCAGGGCCGAAUGCCCCAGACCACUGAUACCGGAUAAGGUGGCACUUACACCCGAAUUCGAUAAUACGGUAGUGGUCUUUAUGUCCCGUUCGGGACGAGACCCGCGCAAAGGCGUGGAGAAAGGUAUGAAGGCAGCACAGGACAAGGUGCUGGACCUACUCGGCCCCAUCGCUAAGAUACUAUUUUUUGCAGAUCUGGCACUCAGCCAGGGCUCCCAGCUAGACCCGAACAUCAUACGGGAAUGGGCCCAACGAUCAGUGUGCCUCCUAGGCAACGCCAACGCCGUUCUGUGCACCGAGAGGCGUAGAUCGGCGUUGAUCCGUAUAGACAGUAAGCUCCUGGAUCUAGGCGCCAAAGAAUUCGGACCGAAAGCACAAGGGCUCCUGUUUGGCGAUGCUUUUAUCUCGGAGCUGAAGAAUCACGUGAAUCUCUUCACCACCUUGAAUAAGGCACAGACCUCUCUAAAGCAGGUUUUCCACAAUCCACCAGGAAGAGGUGUUUUUGGGAGGGCUGGUCAGCAGAGGAGCCAAGCCACCAGCCGUUUUUGGGCAUCAGGUUCCAGAUCCUUUUCACAAGCCCCAAGCUUCUUCCCUUCGGCUACGCAAAGACCAUCUUCAUACCGAGGGUCAGGGAGGUCGAGAGGCUUCAGGGGCCGAGGACGCGGCCGUUUCACUAAUGGUGAGUCCACCUAUAUACCACAAUGUUUCCAAUUUUCUAGCAGGCAACCUUUCAGAACUGGAAGCUUAUCACCAAGGACGCCUGGGUACUCCAGACGGUGAGAGGCUUCACCAUAGAAUUUUCAGCACAACCUAUACAGACCAUUCCCCCUUCGCCAAUACACAUGUCAGCGGAUCAAGGACGCCUGGUAGACGAAGAGAUCCAGAUGCUCUUCAGGAAAGGCGCGAUACAAUACGCGACAGGAGGGGACAGCUUCGUAAGCAAUAUCUUCCUGGUAAAGAAGAAAACGGGCGAAUACAGGCCUGUCAUCAACCUCCGACAAUUGAAUUCCUACGUCACAUACAGACACUUCAAAAUGGAAGGAAUCCACCUCCUACAAGACCUUCUCAUCAAAAACGAUUGGUUUACACGCCUGGAUCUCAAAGACGCGUACCUGUCGGUUCCCAUGGACGUACACAGCCGCCGUUUUCUCCGAUUCCGCUGGCAAGGACGUCUGUGCCAGUUCACGUGUCUGCCAUUCGGCCUCAGUUCGGCGCCGUGGUGCUUCACGAAGCUGCUGAGGCCGGUGAUGGCUCACAUACGAUCCUCGGGCAUUCGAUGUCUCGUAUACUUGGACGAUUUGCUAAUCUUCUGCGAAUCCGCUGCCAGGCUGCGAUGGCAGACGAAAUUUGUCGUUCACUUGCUGGAAUCUUUAGGUUUCAUAGUGAACAGACAAAAAUCGUCCCUCUCUCCCUCCCAAUCAGUCCAAUUUCUCGGGUUCGAUAUCGACUCGAAGGAAUGCGUGCUUCGGCUACCCCAAACGAAGAUAGCCUCAAUACGGAAGGAAAUCAGACGGGUUCUGAGACUGGAGACCAUAACACUCAGGAUGCUCGCCCGGAUCGUGGGACUUCUCUCCUCCUCCAUACAGGCGAUAUUCCCGGGACCAUUACACUACAGGGUCAUGCAACGGCUGAAGGCGGAAUACCUGCGCACCGGACACUCAUACGACAGCCGGAUUCCACUGUCAACGGAGGUGAGAACGGAACUCCGAUGGUGGUUACUGCACAUUCAAGCUUGGAAUGGCAAGGCGAUUUUUGGCUCUUCCCCAGACUUCAUUGUGGAGUCGGACGCCAGCCUGUGGGGAUGGGGCGCACACUGCACGGACGCCUCCACGGGGGGCCCGUGGCAAGGGGAAGAGACCGAACUCCAUAUCAACUGUCUGGAAUUGAUCGCGGGGUCCUUCGCCAUCCGCAGCUUGGCCAAGGACAAAUCCAACUGUUGCAUAUUACUCCGCAUGGACAACGUGUCGGCAGUACAGUAAAUCAACCGCCUCGGCGGGGCCAGGUCUCGAGACCUAACAGAAGCCACGAAAGACAUCUACAAGUUUUGCCUCUCACGGAACAUCACGCUGCAGGCGGAAUACCUACCAGGAACCUCCAACCUGACAGCGGACUGGUUUUCGCGUCAUUGGCGAGACAACAGCGAUUGGACACUCAACAAAGAGAUCUUCCUAGAGCUGAGAUGGGGGAAGGGUCCACUCACAAUAGAUUUGUUCGCCUCCAGGACCAACCACCAACUACCGAGGUACUACAGUUGGCUCCCGGACCCGGAAAGCGAAGCUACGGACGCAUUCCUACAGAACUGGCCCACGCAGGGGGCGUAUGCCUUCCCUUCGUUCGCCAUGAUCCCGCGAGUACUACGAUACGCACGCAACCACAAGAUAUCGCUUUUACUCCUAACACCCCUCUGGCGGAGUCAACCAUGGUUCCCAGAGCUCCUGGAGAUGUCUUACGAGGACCCACUUCUGCUCCCCACCUUCCCUCUCCUUCUGACGGGACCUCGAGGGGAGGCUCACUCCCUCGUCUUGGAAGGACAGCUGGAACUAGUGGCUUGGACGAUUUCAGGGGCUCCUGGUCAGUCCACGGCCUAUCGCAAUCAUCUAAAGACCUCCUUUGGGACUCAUGGGCUCCCGGCACCAGGAAAUGCUAUAUUUCCGCAUGGUCGGCCUGGAGCGACUGGUGUGUGGAAAGGGAUUCCGAUCCCUUUACUGCACCUAUCCCGUUGAUCCUCAACUACCUGUCACACCUGUUCAUGUUGGGACGAUCAUAUAGGUCCCUCAAUGUGAUCAGAUCCGCCAUCUCGGCGGCGCACCUCCCGGUACAGGGCAGACCGAUAGGCCAAGACCCACUGGUCUGCCGGCUACUGCGGGGUACCAAAUUAACGAGACCCCCGGCACCCAAAUACUCACACCUUUGGCAGGUAGAGGUGGUGCUGAAAUUCCUUCGGGAAUGGCCGGACAAUCCCUACCUAUCAUUGAAACAGCUCUCAUCGAAGCUGGCCCUCCUACUAUGCCUCGUCUCUUUCAGACGGGUGGCAGAUGUCCGGGCGUUCGACGUGGAUGGUUUCUCAUUCACUCCAGAAGGGGUUACCUUCCACAUAUCGAGACGCACGAAAUCGGACUCAGCGUCAGUGUCAUACCCAUACUUUGGUACAGACCCCAAAUUAUGUGUAGUCAGGACACUAUUGAGGUAUACCGAAAUCACGAACUCCCUGCUUCGGAGCGCACUCAGUCAGAGGGGCGGCGGCCUCUCAAGCCUUAUCGGCCGGCGCCUCCCUGGCCGACAUUAUGCGCUGCGCGGAUUGGUCGCGAGAGAGUACCUUUAGGACUUUUUACUUUCGACAGACUUCUCAUGCUUCCUUCACAUUAGUCAACUCGAAGCUUUAAAAAUGCAAAUAUGAAGCCUCCUGUCAUGUGGUAAAAUUGAAGAUUAUACUAGCUUUAGUGUACUAAUAAUCUUAAUUUUAGUAAUGACAGGAGGCGAAUAUUUCCCACCCUUUAGGAUCCCUCCCUUAGGUUACUCGUUUGGAUGUGUGUAUGUGUUAGUGUUCAGGAAGACAUGUUUUACCUGGUACACGGUCAGACUGGCACAGUUACUUACUAGAAUGGGUUAGUUGCAGGAUGGUAAUUGUACUAGUACUAGAUUGUUUACCUGUUUCCUUUUAGUGUCAGUAAGUUCUAGUUUGUAGAUGGAUAGCUUUUGUUUAUAACCGUGGGAAAUCAGCAUUCUUACGAUAUAUUGCAUGCGGACAAAUUAUCAUACCAGAGACCUUUCACCUUUUUUCUUCUUUUGCAGUAUGAAAAUCUCCACAAGACAAGGUGCCUCUCGUACUACGGCUACACCACGGGAUCACUCGAGUUGGAUGUGCU